rnacentral:rRNA from 1 species
AUACGGAGGGUGCAAGCGUUGUCCGGAUUUAUUGGGUUUAAAGGGUGUGUAGGCGGUGUAUUAAGUCAGUGGUGAAAGCCUGCGGCUCAACCGUAGAACUGCCAUUGAUACUGACACACUUGAGUUUGGUUGAGGUAGGCGGAAUUUAUGGUGUAGCGGUGAAAUGCAUAGAUACCAUAAAGAACACCGAUAGCGAAGGCAGCUUACUAAGCCGAAACUGACGCUGAGGCACGAAAGCGUGGGGAGCGAACAGGAUUAGAAACCCUAGUAGUCC